AUUGAACGCUGGCGGCAUGCCUUACACAUGCAAGACGAACGGUAACGGGUCCUUCGGGAUGCCGACGAGUGGCGAACGGGUGAGUAAUAUAUCGGAACGUGCCCAGUAGUGGGGGAUAACUGCUCGAAAGAGCAGCUAAUACAGCAUACGACCUGAGGGUGAAAGGGGGGGAUCGCAAGACCUCCCGCUAUUGGAGCGGCCGAUAUCAGAUUAGCUAGUGGGUGGGGUAAAGGCCUACCAAGGCAACGAUCUGUAGUUGGUCUGAGAGGACGACCAGCCACACUGGGACUGAGACACGGCCCAGACUCCUACGGGAGGCAGCAGUGGGGAAUUUUGGACAAUGGGCGCAAGCCUGAUCCAGCAAUGCCGCGUGCAGGAAGAAGGCCUUCGGGUUGUAAACUGCUUUUGUCAGGGAAGAAAUCUUCUGGGCUAAUACCCCGGGAGGAUGACGGUACCUGAAGAAUAAGCACCGGCUAACUACGUGCCAGCCGCCGCCGUAA
rnacentral:rRNA from 1 species